GGUUGAGGAAAGUCCGGGCUCCCCGAUGGCCAGGCUUGCUGGGUAACGCCCAGUGCGGGUGACCGUGAGGAGAGUGCCACAGAAACACACCGCCGAUGGCCGGUUCCGCCGGCACAGGCAAGGGUGCAAAGGUGCGGUAAGAGCGCACCAGCAGCAUCGAGAGGUGCUGGCUCGGUAAACCCCGGCUGGGAGCAAGGCCUAGGAACGACGGGUGGCCAUCUUCCCCGUUCCGUCUUUGUGCCCGCUCGAGGU
rnacentral:ribozyme from 1 species